rnacentral:rRNA from 1 species
GACGAACGCUGGCGGCGUGCCUAAUACAUGCAAGUAGAACGCACAGUUUAUACCGUAGCUUGCUACACCAUAGACUGUGAGUUGCGAACGGGUGAGUAACGCGUAGGUAACCUGCCUGGUAGCGGGGGAUAACUAUUGGAAACGAUAGCUAAUACCGCAUAAUAUUAAUUAUUGCAUGAUAAUUAAUUGAAAGGUGCAAUUGCACCACUACCAGACGGACCUGCGUUGUAUUAGCUAGUAGGUGAGGUAACGGCUCACCUAGGCGACGAUACAUAGCCGACCUGAGAAGGUGAUCGGCCACGCUGGGACUGAGACACGGCCCAGCAUCCUACGGGGGGGAGCAGGAGGGAAUCUUCGGCAAAGGACGAAAGUCUGACCGAGCAACGCCGCGUGAGUGAAGAAGGUUUUCGGAUCGUAAAGCUCGGUUGUAAGAGAAGAACGGGUGUGAGAGUGGAAGAUUCACGCUGUGACGGUAUCUUACCAGAAAGGGACGGCUAACUACGUG